rnacentral:rRNA from 1 species
GCAAGUCGAACGCGAAAGUUUCUUUCGAGAAACGAGUAGAGUGGCGCACGGGUGAGUAACGCGUAAGUAAUCUACCCUUGCAUCUGGGAUAACCCACCGAAAGGUGUGCUAAUACCGGAUACGUUUACUCUUAUUAAUUGAGAGUAAAGAAAGGUGGCCUCUUCAUGAAAGCUACUGUGCAGGGAGGAGCUUGCGUACCAUUAGCUAGUUGGUAGGGUAAUGGCCUACCAAGGCAACGAUGGUUAGCGGGUCUGAGAGGAUGAUC